rnacentral:rRNA from 1 species
CAGUUCGGUCCCUAUCUGUUGCGGGCGUAAGAGAUUUGAAGGGAGCUGUCCUUAGUACGAGAGGACCGGGAUGGACGUACCUCUGGUGCACCAGUUGUCCUGCCAAGGGCAUAGCUGGGUAGCUAUGUACGGACGAGAUAAACGCUGAAGGCAUCUAAGCGUGAAACUCUCCCUAAGAUUAGAUCUCUCAUCCUUCAUGGAGUAAGGCACGACGUAGACUAUGUCGUUGAUAGGCCGGAGGUGGAAGCGCAGUAAUGCGUGCAGCUGACCGGUACUAAUAAGCCGAGGGCUUGACCUCAA